GUAGACUCUUCUGCCAUGACAUUUGUGUCCGGAAGGCUGGACUGAAACCUCUGAAAUCAUGAGCAAAAGUCAAUCUCUCCUUCUGUAAAUCAUGUGGGUCCAAUCUUUGGUCCCAGUGGUGAAAAGCUGACGCAGCCCCUUUCUUCCUUGCCAUUUCAGAAUGCAAGCAAGGGGGUGACCGGGAACUGUGGCUGCAGCCACCACCUGGGGUGGCAGGAGGGGAUCGGACCACAUGAUCGGACCCUCGAAGACCCAGACUCAAAAUUCAAAGCGCAGUUUCUGUUGACCAAGUGACUAACUCGGAAGUUUGAUGCUGUGUGAGGAGAGAUCUCUCCAAAUCGGUUCCCGUUUGGUAUAAGAGGGGCUGAGUCCAGGGAAGUAUGAUCCAGACUCUUCUCAGCGUAUACAGAAAGGAGCCCUGAUGCUGGGCUCAGAAAGGGGAAGCAAGGAUGAGGAAGAGAUUAGGCCUGCAGGCUCCAGGUUUCCUGCCCUGGCCUUGGGCCUGGAAGACCAGAGGAUCAUUAGGUAAAUCAGGG
rnacentral:lncRNA from 1 species